GUGAAAACACUUUUACCUCAUGGUAUAUUAAGGGUGACAAAGACAUUGCAAAGUGAUUUGCAAACACGAGGUGUCAUAUAAAUUAUGCACUGUUCCAAUUUAUCCUGCAGCAGCAGAGCCCCCACAGACUGAAUUCUUCCAGAUGGUUUCUGUGCCUUGCUGCUGACAGGAUAACCCAGAGUCAGAGGUCAUCUUGGCCUCCGAAGGGGUCUGUACCUAUCCAACUUAAGCACAUGGGAUUCUAUUUCUAUCCUUUAGGUCCCUCACAGAAGCUGGCUCCUUAAUUUACCCGUUCCCAGGCUUCCUUUUUGUCCAAGGCCAGUUUUGCAAAGGGCACUCUUAAUCCCCCUUAAUUAUUCCCAGAGGUGAUGAAAUGAGUAAACUGUAUGGGUCAAAUAGUGUAAAUGAACUAAACCAGUUAACUGUUAACCAAGGCACAUGGUCAAUGCCUUAUUGGGAUUUUUUGUUUUUUGUUUUUUACCAUCUUUCUAACAUUAUUUCUAGCUGUACAUGGCCAAGUGGUGGGAGAAAAUCAGACUCUGAAACAUUUUAAUGGUCUUUUAAGUUUAAGAUGAGAACAAGUUUCAAGGAACUCUGGGAUCCUCUUUUUCAUGUUCGGUGGUGAAGCAGAUGGCUUCAACAAAAGCGUAUGGGUUCUUAUAGGAAGUCUUUUGGAUGGUGCAUUCACUAGGAGGUGCUCUGGGUGUGCUCUUGUUUGGGAAAAACUGAAUCCUAGGUUCUAAACAAGAAGAGAAUGCACUUCCAAAAGGAUCUGCACACUUUCUGCUUUGCAGGGGAUCAGGUUUCAAUGUUAUGGUGAGACUUUCUUUAAGGAAAGUCCAAAUCAUUGCUACCUAUGUAGAUAGAGCCUGGCCAGGAAUAGGGCAACUCCCCAACUGUGGGUGUAUUUGUUCACUAUUGAGAAAAACAAAACUGGGUGUGAGCAUGGGAGUUGCACAGCAGUGGCUCAAACCUGGCCUCGCUUUGACAGACACCAAGCUCAGCAAUUGCAACUCCUAUUCUUCAUUUCCCAGGAUGGAGUGUUGCUCCUUGGGGAACUCUGUGUCCCUUUCUCCUCUCUUGUCUCCCAUUUAUCCCUCUGGCUAAGCCUUUCCCUUCCUCUCCGGGUCACCUGUAGACCCUUUCUAGCUUGAAUGUAUCGGUGUGUCUGUGUUGUGAACAUGAUGAUGCCUUUCACAUAAGGAGCUUUCAGUAACUCAUUCUCAUACUCCUCUCCCAUUUCCACCCAUGGUGUGACUGUUUUGCUAUUCAAGACUAUCUGUAAAAAUGUACAAAUAAAAGCAGAAACUGAAAAUAAGGGGGAGGGAAUUGAGACUAAACAAACGCAUUGAUGUAGCCCUCAGUUUUCUGAGGACUUAUGUGGACUGCCCUAAAAUCCUGACUCUGGAUGGGAUUUGAAGGGAGGGAAUCUAUUGGCACAGGAGUUUUCUUCUGGUUGUUUCUCUGACAGUCACUUGUGUCUGCUUGAAACUCUCUGUUCAAAAAGUAUUUUCCAAAAAGUAAAAAGAAGUCAUCAAAGUCUGAAGGGUGAAGGUCAACACAAAGACCUGAUCCUGGGUCGAAUUAGUUAUCUUUGUCACUGGUGCAUUUGGCGCCUCCAGCGAGUCUUGUUACCUCACCAUGUCUCCGCGUCCUCUCAGCCAAACAGGGAGCAUGGGGGCUUCCGGGGCUCCUGGGGCACCAAGUCUCCUUGGCCAUUCUGCUGCUACUUUUAGGGCGGCUUUGAGCCCAGGCUGGUGUGUGCUUACUGCAUGGAAGUACAUUCGGAGAGCUCCUCCUCCCUGCUCCUCGCCCCUCUCUUUCACUCUUGAGAAAGUAACCUCAAGCUAACAGCCAGUUUGGGCUCAGAGUCCAAAGCCUUUGAUCUACCUUUUCAUUCUCAGAUGCCUUUUCCCACCCACUCUGACGAUCUCAUUUUACUAUCGUUUCUGACAGAGCUUUGCUCAGAUGGGGGUUGGCAGUGGAGGUAAGAUAAAGAAGCCUUUUGAAAGGGGAAGUGGGAGAAUCACAGAGCAUCCUCAGCAUGGCAGCAGAGAAGGAUCCCCAAAAGGCAAGGCACCCUGAAGCAAGAGGAAGUAGGAAAGAGGAACAAGUGUGGGUAAUCCUAUAGCACAAAGAGCUGCCUCCCUCAGGACUGAGAAGACUAGCUGCCCCAGGGAAGGAUUCACAUGAAGCUUGGCCAGUGUCCUAACCCCAACUGCUCCAUGGCGCCCUCGAUCCAAACCUGUCUUCUCUCUUGACAGUCAACAGAGAUCAUCUCUGGGACCAACUUCAUAAAGCCAAUUUAGACCAGUGCUGUCCAACAGAGAGAGAAUACAAACCACAAAUGCAAUUUUAAAUAUCCUUGUAGUCCCAUUUUUAGAAGUCCAAAGAAACAGGUAAAAUUAAUUUUAACACAUAUUUUAACCCAACAUAAAAAUAUUAUUGUUUCAACAUGGCAUCAAUAUAAAAAAUUACUGAAAUAUUUUACGUUCUUUUUUCCCCAAUGAAGUCUUCAAGAUCCAAUGUGAAUUUUGUUCUUAGAAAACAUCUCAGUUUGGACCAGCCAUAUUUCCAUGGCUCAAUAACCACAUGUGGCUACUGGCUACCAUGUAGGACAGCAAAGAUUUAGAUUCUGUUAGAAGACAGAAUGGGAUUGCCCUCACCCAUGAGUCACUCAGAUCUCCCAGCUGACAGAGGCUGGAGGUUGGUGUUGGACCAGAGGAGAAAGCACAGGAGUGAUGUCCAG
ensembl:lncRNA